rnacentral:lncRNA from 1 species
UUUUUUGUGCUGAACAUUAGUUAUUUAUGGUACAAGUAUAUUUUAAAUGAGUAAUUCUAUUUCAAAUAUAUUUUAUCAUCUCUCAAUUGUUACAUCUGACAUAGCAUUGUUAUUAUUAUAAGGUUCGAGCCACUGUUGCGGAAUUGAAGAAUGCUGUUCGUAUUUUCAGUCAUUUGUCUGCAGUCACAGGAUACCAGUCUUAUGGGUUUGAUGAGAAAAAGAUAAACACACAUGUUGGUUAUUGCAAACAUUUGCUUGAUGCUUCUAAGGCUCACUGUGAGGCUGCAGAACGUGAGGAGCACCAAAAUCGCCAGAAACAAGAAGUUCAACGUCAGAUUACAUUAGCUGAGGAAGCACGGCGUAAAGCUGAAGAACAAAGGAAGUUUCAGGUAAUCAAUUUUUUUUUAAUUCAUGUAAUUUUUGGGUGCAAAUCUUUUUUUAUUGACGUGGUAAACAAUUUUUUGUUUUGUAUCUGAAAACAGUUGGAAAGAAGGAAACAAGAAGAUGAGCGAAAACAAGUGAUGCAACAGGACCAACAUUUUCAACGGAUAAAGGUAUUUGUACCAUUUUUACUUUAAAGUGUGGAAUGCUUAUUUAUAUCUUUCUUGGUUAUUGAAGAAAUUUUUGUAUUAUGCCAAUAAGUCUUUAAAGUAGAUUAUAAUCGAUAAGCUAUAGUAAUUUCUAUCAUCUUAAAAAUAUUUCCUUUUUUACGUAAGAUAUAAUAAUUGCUUACAUUUUCUCUCCAUUUUUUAGGAGCAAUGGAAGAGUAACAAUGCUUCUGGCAGUAAGCGGAAAGACCGAUUGUUGGCCGAAGACGAAGACGGUGGAUAUGGAGAGAGGAAGAAGAGGAAAGGAGGAGGGAAGAGGAAAAGGA